GAAUGAAUGUAGAGUCGGUUGUCGCUGGUCCUUUCGGGGACAUGUGCACGCCUUCUCUUACAUCCACACACACCUGUGCACUCGUGAGAAGGAAGCCCUCGGGCGUCCGUCUGCUCUACAUAAACUCAUAUCUAUAAUUUGAAUGUAAUCGAUGUAACACAUCUUUAAACUAAGUUUCAACAACGGAUCUCUUGGCUCU
rnacentral:misc_RNA from 1 species